rnacentral:rRNA from 1 species
UGGGGAAUAUUGGUCAAUGGGGGAAACCCUGAACCAGCGACGCCGCGUGAGGGAAGAAGGUCUUCGGAUUGUAAACCUUUGUCUUUGGUGACGAUAAUGACGGUAACCAAGGAGGAAGCCACGGCUAACUACGUGCCAGCAGCCGCGGUAAUACGUAGGUGGCAAGCGUUGUCCGGAAUUACUGGGUGUAAAGGGAGCGUAGGCGGGUAUGCAAGUAAAAUGUGAAAUCUAUGGGCUCAACCCAUAGACUGCGUUUUAAACUGUGUAUCUUGAGUGAAGUAGAGGCAAGCGGAAUUCCUAGUGUAGCGGUGAAAUGCGUAGAUAUUAGGAGGAACACCAGUGGCGAAGGCGGCUUGCUGGGCUUUAACUGACGCUGAGGCUCGAAAGUGUGGGUAGCAAACA